rnacentral:rRNA from 1 species
UACGUAGGGGGCAAGCGUUGUCCGGAAUUAUUGGGCGUAAAGCGCGUGUAGGCGGCUCGGUAAGUCUGCUGUGAAAGUCCAGGGCUCAACCCUGGAAUGCCGGUGGAUACUGUCGAGCUCGAGUCCGGAAGAGGCGAGUGGAAUUCCUGGUGUAGCGGUGAAAUGCGCAGAUAUCAGGAGGAACACCAAUUGCGAAGGCAGCUCGCUGGGACGUUACUGACGCUGAGACGCGAAAGCGUGGGGAGCAAACAGG